rnacentral:tRNA from 1 species
UUGCGGCUGGAUCACCUCCUUUCUAGAGAAUCAGAAGUCCAGGAGUCAGAGGACACAGGUCAGCGAUGAUUUCUGAGUGCUCGGGCUUUGGUGACUUCUCAAACCCGUCUUAGUGUCCACAGCCUAUCGGCUGGAAACAGUGCUCAGCUACGGGCUAUGUGUGUGAGCACGGGGGUCUGUAGCUCAGUUGGUUAGAGCACACGCUUGAUAAGCGUGGGGUCGGUGGUUCAAGUCCACCCAGACCCACCAGGGAUCGAAUCGGGGCUGUAGCUCAGCUGGGAGAGCACCUGGUUUGCAACCAGGGGGUCGUCGGUUCGAUCCCGAUCAGCUCCACCACCACAGUAGUCAGAUGUCAGAUAGCAGAUCUCAGCGAAGCAUU